UGGGGAAUAUUGCACAAUGGAGGGAACUCUGAUGCAGCGACGCCGCGUGAGUGAUGAAGGACUUCGUUUCGUAAAACUCUGUUCUAUGGGAAGAAAAGGACUGUACCAUAGGAGAAAGCUCCGGCUAAAUACGUGCCAGCAGCCGCGGUAAUACGUAUGGAGCGAGCGUUGUCCGGAAUUAUUGGGCGUAAAGGGUGCGCAGGCGGCUUUACAAGUUGGAUGUGAAAUAUUGUGGCUCAACCACAAACGUGCAUCCAAAACUGCAAAGCUUGAGUUAAGGAGAGGUAAGUGGAAUUCCUGGUGUAGCGGUGGAAUGCGUAGAUAUCAGGAAGAAUACCGGUGGCGGAGGCGACUUACUGGACUUAAACUGACGCUCAGGCACGAAAGCGUGGGGAGCAAACAGG
rnacentral:rRNA from 1 species